rnacentral:rRNA from 1 species
AGGGCGCGAGCGUUGUCCGGAUUUACUGGGUGUAAAGGGUGCGUAGGCGGGCUUGCAAGUCAGACGUGAAAUACCGGGGCUUAACUCCGGGGCUGCGUUUGAAACUGCAGGUCUUGAGUGAAGUAGAGGCAGGCGGAAUUCCUAGUGUCGCGGUGAAAUGCGUAGAUAUUAGGAGGAACACCAGUGGCGAAGGCGGCCUGCUGGGCUUUAACUGACGCUGAGGCACGAAAGCAUGGGGAGCAA